UUCAAGGAAAUACACGUUCACCUAACAACAUGGGCAUGACCUAAGGGUCACUAACAGCGGGUCCCACGGGACAACUGGUAAGGUUUGACGAGUCCACCCUAGUGUCUCCCUCCUUUGGUCAAAUGUAGUGCAGCCUCCAGUGAUCCUUGGCCGCAAACGGAAGCACCCCUCAAUGAUCUCAACCCAUCACAAGGCUGAGGAGGCCAAGCCAGUCCCGAUGACAUGCGGCACGGCCUCCGGGGUUCAUCCGAUUAUCGACGACGUGCAAUCCCGAGACCCUCCAGCGGAGGCAAAAUUGGGACGUUGCCCUACGAUCUUGCUGUGGUGAAAUUAGUGUUGGAAUGGGUUCGUGGAUUUACGUGGGAGAU
rnacentral:lncRNA from 1 species